AUGCCGCCUCCCAGUGCUCCCUCCUCUUCCUGCGCGGCGCCCUCCUCUCUCUUCGGUCCCCUUCGCGCCUCCUCGCGACAGUCACAGCCAAGGAGCCCGAGCUCGGCGGCGACGGAUCGGAAGGCAGCGUCGGCACUGGAUAUGGGAGUGGUGGAUCCGCCGCCGUCUCCACUCGCCGGGAACCAGCCAGAUCCGCCCCACGAGCUUCACAGGUGCCACCUCCUCCGCCACCAGCCACGGUGGCCUCCCCCGCCCCGUAUCGGCGCGGAUCCAGCCGCCAUCUCCCGCAGCAACGGCGGCCUCGCCCUGCUCCGCCCCCGCUCCUCCUCCUCCUCCGCGCCUUCGCCUCGCUCCCCAUCCCGGCCGCCGCGAGAGGCGGCCUCGACCCAUCUCCCUCAGGUAUCAUCGAUGAAAAACAUGGGUCGUUUUCGCGUACUCUUCUUCAGGAUAAGCCUGAGAUCACGAAAGAAAUGA
rnacentral:rRNA from 1 species